rnacentral:rRNA from 1 species
UACGUAGGGCGCAAGCGUUGUCCGGAAUUAUUGGGCGUAAAGAGCUCGUAGGCGGCCAGUUGCGUCCGCUGUGAAAACUCGGGGCUUAACCCCGAGCCUGCAGUGGAUACGGGCAGACUAGAGGUAGGUAGGGGAGAAUGGAAUUCCCGGUGUAGCGGUGAAAUGCGCAGAUAUCGGGAGGAACACCGGUGGCGAAGGCGGUUCUCUGGGCCUUACCUGACGCUGAGGAGCGAAAGCGUGGGGAGCGAACAGG